AUUUAUCUACCGUAACAAUACCCCGUCUAGCGAAAACAAUAUCCGGUGGUGUCGAGGAAAUGCGGCCGCGUGCACCUCAUCCAGCCGGCGGCCUUCACCGUGCUUCUUCCACAUCGGCGCACUUCACAGAUUGCAGGACGGGAGUUGGGUAGCCGGGCUGCUCGACCAACAUGAGAUUGAUCCAUGCGGCACGGUGACUCAACUGUCCGGGCGAGAUGCGGACGACAGCGGAUUGAUGAGAUGGCUCGAAGAUGGAGACAAGAUGCGUUCGACGGUGGCUCAAUCAUGACGAUAAAGAUGCGGACACACACCCCAGCGUUGGUCCGUUGGACGUCCUUGCAGUCGUAUGAUGGGCUGAUGCAUGGAAAAAAGAAGUCAUGCCGCCUGUCGCGUUGAUUCACUGGGUUUCCUUUAGUUGGGUUAGCUUGCUCCACAUCUGUUUGUUGCUCUUCCGAUUUGGUAGAACACCGGCGGAAACGUGCUAUUAGGGUGAAAUACUUGGGCUGCAUAUAAUUAUCUGGAUCUGUCCGAUGUAUAGUGCUUCAUCAAAUGAAGUAUAUAGUCAUUGAAACAAAUAGUAUAUACCUUCCUAAUCUAGAAAAUUGUUGUAAGUAUACUUUUUUUGUAUAGUACUCCUAUCUGAUGUGAGAAAAGGUAAGUAUA